CCUACGGGGGGCUGCAGUGGGGAAUAUUGGACAAUGGGGGGAACCCUGAUCCAGCCAUGCCGCGUGUGUGAAGAAGGCCCUCGGGUUGUAAAGCACUUUCAGUGAGGAAGAACGCCUGGUGGUUAAUACCCAUCAGGAAAGACAUCACUCACAGAAGAAGCACCGGCUAACUCCGUGCCAGCAGCCGCGGUAAUACGGAGGGUGCGAGCGUUAAUCGGAAUUACUGGGCGUAAAGCGCGCGUAGGUGGCUUGAUAAGCCGGUUGUGAAAGCCCCGGGCUCAACCUGGGAACGGCAUCCGGAUCUGUCAAGCUAGAGUGCAGGAGAGGAAGGUAGAAUUCCCGGUGUAGCGGUGAAAUGCGUAGAGAUCGGGAGGAAUACCAGUGGCGAAGGCGGCCUUCUGGACUGACACUGACACUGAGGUGCGAAAGCGUGGGUAGCAAACAGGAUUAGAUACCCGUGUAGUC
rnacentral:rRNA from 1 species